AAAAAAUUAGUUUAACCAAAACCUUAGUUUGUCAAACUAAAAAUAUUAAUUAAUUAAUAUUUUUUA
rnacentral:tRNA from 1 species